UUAUGAGAGUUUGAUCCUGGCUCAGGACGAACGCUGGCGGCGUGCCUAAUACAUGCAAGUCGAACGCUUUUUCUUUCACCGGAGCUUGCUCCACCGAAAGAAAAAGAGUGGCGAACGGGUGAGUAACACGUGGGUAACCUGCCCAUCAGAAGGGGAUAACACUUGGAAACAGGUGCUAAUACCGUAUAACACUAUUUUCCGCAUGGAAGAAAGUUGAAAGGCGCUUUUGCGUCACUGAUGGAUGGACCCGCGGUGCAUUAGCUAGUUGGUGAGGUAACGGCUCACCAAGGCAACGAUGCAUAGCCGACCUGAGAGGGUGAUCGGCCACACUGGGACUGAGACACGGCCCAGACUCCUACGGGAGGCAGCAGUAGGGAAUCUUCGGCAAUGGACGAAAGUCUGACCGAGCAACGCCGCGUGAGUGAA
rnacentral:rRNA from 1 species